CACUCCCUCUGCACCAUGGAACCGAAGAUGGACUAUGGCAUGCUCUCUUCAAUAGAGUGUUCAUCUCUUGUUCCUUCUCCAUCAUCAAUUUUCAUGUUAGAAUCAGGGUCAUUGCUGACAGACCAUGAACCUCAAGGACAGCGGCAAAAAGGUAUCAAGUGAACACUUGCAUAUAAAUAUUCUUGGUUAAGUGUAUCAUGUACGUUUUAUUUUGCGAGUAAUAAUGGUCCUAAGCUGCUACUCAUACGUGGAAGGAAAUGAUGUCUUAUAUAACCAAUUGUCUUACACCUGAUAGAAAAAGAUAUUGGAAGGGCUCAUAUCAAAAUUGAGAUCCCUAGAUCCACCAUGUCAAUGCACCACUGCUUGAUUUUUACUCUCUCUCUCCAAGCGCGGACACUGUUUUUCUGAAGAAACAAGCUCUAAGCUGAUAAUUCUGGUUGAUCAUGUCUUCCAGUUUGUUUAGCGAGCAAUCUCAGCAUGCAAGGUGAACAAGCAAUGAUCCAAAGAUUAUUUCGGCUGAAGAGAGGU